UAACGCGUGGGAACAUACACAGCACAGGGGGAUAACCAUUGGAAACGAUGGCUAAUACCGCAUACGCCCUAUUGGGGAAAGAUUUAUCGGUGUUGGAUUGGCCCGCGUUAGAUUAGCUAGUUGGUGGGGUAAUGGCUCACCAAGGCGACGAUUUAUAGCUGGUUUGAGAGGAUGAUCAGCAACACUGGAACUGAGACACGGUCCAGACUCCUACGGGAGGCAGCAGUCGGGAAUAUUGUGCAAUGGGGGCAACCCUGACACAGCCAUGCCGCGUGAGUGAAGAAGGCCUUAGGGUUGUAAAGCUCUUUCAGAUGUGAGGAUGAUGACGAUAGCAUCAGAAGAAGCUCCGGCUAACUUCGUGCCAGCAGCCGCGGUAAUACGAAGGGAGCUAGCGUUGUUCGGAAUUACUGGGCGUAAAGGGCGUGUAGGCGGAUUAUCAAGUUAGGGGUGAAAUCCCGGGGCUCAACCUCGGCACUGGCUUUAAGACUGAUAAUCUAAAGUAUGUGAGGGGAUAAUG
rnacentral:rRNA from 1 species